rnacentral:lncRNA from 1 species
UAAGUGGAUGUUAGGCUUGUCCCAGACUAGGUACAUAGAUUUUGUGUUGAAGAGAUUCAACAUGGAUGAGUGUAAGAGUGUUUACUUACCUAUGUAUAUUAUGUACCAAGCUUGAUGUGGUUCAUGCCAUGUGCAUAACCAUUGAUUUUAGGUUGAUUCAGGAUAGGAUCUUUGAAAUAUCAUAAAAAAUAUUCUCAAAUACUUGAGA